CUUCAGCGACCCCAGCCACAACGGAGCAUCUUCCGACCGGCCCUCACCGUAGGUCGCCAGCAGCGCCUGCGCUUC
rnacentral:antisense_RNA from 1 species